rnacentral:lncRNA from 1 species
UCUCUGCCUGUCUGUCUUUCUCUUUCUCUCCCUCUCUGUGUUUAUCUGUCUGUCUGUGUCCCUCUCUUCUUUCUCUCUCUCUCAUGCGUGCACACACAGCUAUGCAUGAGGAGGUCAGAGGAAAACUUGUAGGAUUUUAUUCUCUUUUUCCAUCACAUGAGUCCCAAGGGUCAAACUUAGGUUGUCAGGCCUAGUGGUAUAUGCCUUUAACCACUGCGCCAUGUCACUAGCCCCACAUCUGAGUAAGGGUGAAGAUAGAAACAGCAGUCCUUCCAUGUUUAGAAGUAGAUGAUUUGGAUUUUGUUGCCAAGUGGUGAGCAGUGGAGCUAGUAAUCCAUCCUUUGAGAAAUGUCCAGGAUGCCAUGCUACAAAGCACCUUGGUAUCUGACCCUCACCACACUGGCUCUAAAACAGCAUCUAAACUGAUUACAUUUGCUGGUGAUACUGAGUCUUCCUCAUAGUGGGAGGAUCCUGCGAGGCCUGUUAGCAUAUUCAGGGACAUAAAAGAUGUCCAGCAUCUUAACCUCUCUUGAGGGAUAGGAACUUCCAAGUUCAUGGAUUCCGGUCUUGGCUAAAGUGAGGCAGGAUUACCCAUUUACAUAGAUGACACUUUUCAGGCUAUCAGAUAGAGAAUCAGGUUGGUCCAGUCUUGUUUCUGAAGUUUGAGCAAGUAGCCAAGAAGAGUCUUGGGAUACAUUUGAGGUAACCUUUACAGUAUGGUGAGGAAAAACUUGAUUUUCUUCUUGUUUGUCAAUCUUUUUAUAAAAACAAGAUUCUCAAUGUUGUACAGUAAUACAGCUCAGAAAAUUACACCACUUACAGGCUGUGGAGGGUAGAUCAAUUUGAGAAUGCUUUCCUUGAAUACAAGACCCUGGAUCCAAUCCCCAACACUGAAAAAGAAAGGAGAGUUACAACACUGCCUAACGAAUAUUUUUGUUUCAUAGGCAACAAAGUUCAAAUCAUUGACUCUUGUAUUAGCUUUCUUUUACUACUAAUGAUUAUUCGAUUCUACCAAACAGAUACAUCACAAAAUUGAUGACUGAGGCUUCGACAAACUCACAUCCCCUGUAAAAACCUAUACCCUGUCGCACGCCUUUAAUCCCAGCACUCGGGAGGCAGAGGCAGGCAGAUUUCUGAGUUUGAGGCCAGCCUGGUCUACAAAGUGAGUUCCAGGACAGCCAGGGUUAUACAGAGAAGCCCUGUCUCAAAACACCAAAAACAAAAAACAAAAAAACAAAAAAACAACCUAUACCCUAAGCAAGCAGAGCAGCACUAAGCAGCUACUUUUGGCUAUUAGCCAUUUGCCAAAACGAAACUGUAGUUUUCCCCACCGAUGUUUGUCAAUGCCACUUACACUUUGCUAGCAUGCAGAAGAUACACAGAGCUGAUCUAGUGAAUGAGUAGGAGGUGAGUGCCUCCUACUGUCAAGAGUACCAUGGAAACCAGCACAGGCUAAUCUAGGAUAUGCCCCAAGAAGACAGCAAUUAGGUCAGGCAAAAGACAAGACAAAACAAAACAAAUCAGCAAAUAAAUAAGUAACUCCACGGAGAUGAAGAAGCUAAGAAAGUCCACCUUCAAGGACUACUGCCCCUAGAGUAGAGACACUGUCUGAGGCAGGAUGUCCAUGCUUACGAUCCUAAAAGCAGCAGUAGUCUUCAAGAUUCCAAAUAACACUCAAGGCCAAGUGUACCUAAUACAGCUAUCUUCAAAUGGUUGACAUGAAGCAACACAUCUGUCUAUAGGAGUUCCAUUUUCCCCCUGUAAU